UACGGAGGGUGCAAGCGUUGUCCGGAUUUAUUGGGUUUAAAGGGUGCGUAGGCGGCCUUGUAAGUCAGUGGUGAAAUACUCCAGCUUAACUGGAGGGGUGCCAUUGAUACUGCAGGGCUUGAGUACAGAUGAAGUAGGCGGAAUUGACGGUGUAGCGGUGAAAUGCAUAGAUAUCGUCAAGAACUCCGAUAGCGAAGGCAGCUUACUAAGCUGUAACUGACGCUGAGGCACGAAAGUGUGGGGAUCAAACAGG
rnacentral:rRNA from 1 species